CAAUAGAGUGACCGGCCUCUGAUGAGCUGUUACCACCACCAUCUCCAGCCAGAGAGGACAUUAUUUCUUCAGCUUCUUCUUGCGUUGUCACGCCGGCGGGAGGUGUGCCUACAUCAUAAA